CGGCGGCGGCAGCAGCAGCUCGGGCUCAGCCGGGUUCUGGCUCCGCGAACCGGCGAUGAAUCAGCCCGAUUCCAUUCAAAAGAGUCGCCCGGGCCUCCGCCGCGAAGCACUUCCGGGUUCACUGCUCUGCUCCGGCUUCCGUUCCCCCGACGACCAAUUGGAGACGACUCUGGAGAUGGGCGAGCGUCCCAGGAGGAGCUGCCCGGACUGACAACGCCUGCCGCCCGCUUCCCCGGUCCCAGCUGGGAGGGCGGAGCGGAAGUUAGCGCCGAGACCGCUCCUGCACCUCCGACAUCCUCCCUUUUCUGCUCCCGCCUCUCCCUUCCCACUUCUGCGCGUUCUGCGAACUCCGAGAUCCGGGACGCAGGCCUACACAGCCUGGGAGGUGACUGGUUAGGAAAUGGAACUGCAGGUGGAAACCAGGCUUCUUGGAAGACUUCAAAUUAUGCCAAAUGGUCUGAUUUUACCAUAGAGGUAGGCACUAAAGGACUAAAAUUACUUCUGUGUAAUUUUUGUUAACUACAUUUUACAUGCAAAUGUCUACACAACCAUGUUAAUGAAGUUAUAGAGAAGGAAAGAAAGUUGGCAUUCCCAUUGUUCUGUUUUAUUCAAA
rnacentral:lncRNA from 9 species